UACGUAGGGUGCGAGCGUUGUCCGGAAUUAUUGGGCGUAAAGAGCUUGUAGGCGGUUUGUCGCGUCUGCCGUGAAAAUCCGGGGCUCAACCCCGGAUCUGCGGUGGGUACGGGCAGACUAGAGUGAUGUAGGGGAGACUGGAAUUCCUGGUGUAGCGGUGAAAUGCGCAGAUAUCAGGAGGAACACCGGUGGCGAAGGCGGGUCUCUGGGCAGUAACUGACGCUGAGGAGCGAAAGCGUGGGGGAGCGAACAGG
rnacentral:rRNA from 1 species